rnacentral:rRNA from 1 species
GUCUAUUUGGAGAUAUAAAAAGUCUAGCCUGCCCACUGAUAAAAUUUAAGGGCCGCGGUAUUUCUGACUGUGCAAAGGUAGCAUAAUCGUUAGUUUUUUAAUUGAAAUCUUGUAUGAAUGGUUUGACAAGAAAAAAUCUGUCUUUGUAAAUAUUAAUUGAAUUUAACUUUUAAGUGAAAAGGCUUAAAUAAAUUUAAAAGACGAUAAGACCCUAUAAAACUUAAUAAAAAUUGAUAUUUAAAUAAAAUUUAUUAAUAAAUAUUUAGUAAUUAAUUUUUAUUUUAUUGGGGUGAUAAUGGUAAAAUGGAUAUUAACUGUUAAUAAAGUUUAUAACAAAAAUUAUUGAGUAAGUACAAUAAAUGAUCCUUAUUAAAGAUUAAAAGUUUAAGUUACUUUAGGGAUAACAGCGUUAUUUUUUUUGAGAGUUCUUAUCGAGAAAAAAGUUUGCGACCUCGAUGUUGAAUUAAAAUAUCUAUAUAAUUGUAGCAGUUAUAUAAGAAGGUCUGUUCGACCUUUAAAUUUUUACAUGAUUUGAGUUCAAACCGGUGUGAG